rnacentral:rRNA from 1 species
UACGUAGGGCGCAAGCGUUGUCCGGAAUUACUGGGCGUAAAGGGCGCGUAGGCGGCCUGCUAAGUCGAACGUGAAAUCCCUGGGCUCAACCCAGGAACUGCGUCCGAUACUGGUUGGCUUGAAUCCGGGAGAGGGAUGUGGAAUUCCAGGUGUAGCGGUGAAAUGCGUAGAUAUCGGGAGGAACACCGGUGGCGAAAGCGCUCUACUGGGCCAUAACUGACACUGAGGGACGAAAGCUAGGGGAGCGAAAGGG